UGGGGAAUAUUGGACAAUGGGCGCAAGCCUGAUCCAGCAAUGCCGCGUGAGUGAUGAAGGCCUUAGGGUUGUAAAGCUCUUUCGCACGCGACGAUGAUGACGGUAGCGUGAGAAGAAGCCCCGGCUAACUUCGUGCCAGCAGCCGCGGUAAUACGAAGGGGGCUAGCGUUGUUCGGAAUUACUGGGCGUAAAGGGCGCGUAGGCGGCCUGUUUAGUCAGAAGUGAAAGCCCCGGGCUCAACCUGGGAAUAUCUUUUGAUACGGGCAGGCUUGAGUUCCGGAGAGGAUGGUGGAAUUCCCAGUGUAGAGGUGAAAUUCGUAGAUAUUGGGAAGAACACCGGUGGCGAAGGCGGCCAUCUUGACGGACACUGACGCUGAGGCGCGAAAGCGUGGGGAGCAAACA
rnacentral:rRNA from 1 species